rnacentral:rRNA from 1 species
AUUGAACGCUGGCGGCAUGCCUUACACAUGCAAGUCGAACGGUAACAGGUUAAGCUGACGAGUGGCGAACGGGUGAGUAAUGUAUCGGAACGUGCCCAGUCGUGGGGGAUAACUGCUCGAAAGAGCAGCUAAUACCGCAUACGACCUGAGGGUGAAAGCGGGGGAUCGCAAGACCUCGCGCGAUUGGAGCGGCCGAUAUCAGAUUAGGUAGUUGGUGAGGUAAAGGCUCACCAAGCCGACGAUCUGUAGCUGGUCUGAGAGGACGACCAGCCACACUGGGACUGAGACACGGCCCAGACUCCUACGGGAGGCAGCAGUGGGGAAUUUUGGACAAUGGGCGCAAGCCUGAUCCAGCCAUGCCGCGUGCGGGAAGAAGGCCUUCGGGUUGUAAACCGCUUUUGUCAGGGAAGAAAAGGUUCUGGCUAAUACCUGGGACUCAUGACGGUACCUGAAGAAUAGCACCGGCUAACUACGUG